rnacentral:rRNA from 2 species
GCAUAUCAAUAAGCGGAGGAAAAGAAACCAACCGGGAUUGCCUCAGUAACGGCGAGUGAAGCGGCAAGAGCUCAAAUUUGAAAUCUGGCCCCUUUGGGGUCCGAGUUGUAAUUUGCAGAGGAUGCUUCGGGUGCGGUCCCCGUCUAAGUGCCCUGGAACGGGCCGUCAUAGAGGGUGAGAAUCCCGUCUGGGAUGGGCGGCCGUGCCCGUGUGAAGCUCCUUCGACGAGUCGAGUUGUUUGGGAAUGCAGCUCUAAGUGGGUGGUAAAUUUCAUCUAAAGCUAAAUACUGGCCGGAGACCGAUAGCGCACAAGUAGAGUGAUCGAAAGAUGAAAAGCACUUUGAAAAGAGAGUUAAACAGCACGUGAAAUUGUUGAAAGGGAAGCGUUGUCCACCAGACUCGCCCGGGGGGGCUCAGCCGGCACGUGUGCCGGUGUACUCCUCUCCGGGCGGGCCAGCAUCGGUUUGGGCGGCUGGUGAAAGGCCCCGGGAAUGUAACACCCUCCGGGGUGCCUUAUAGCCCGGGGUGCCAUGCGGCCAGCCUGGACCGAGGCCCGCGCUUCGGCGAGGAUGCUGGCGUAAUGGUGGUCAACGGCCCGUCUUGAAACACGGACC